CCUACGGGAGGCAGCAGUGAGGAAUAUUGGUCAAUGGACGAGAGUCUGAACCAGCCAAGUAGCGUGAAGGAUGACUGCCCUAUGGGUUGUAAACUUCGUUUAUAUGGGAAUAAAACGUUCCACGUGUGGGAUGUUGUAGGUACCAUAUGAAUAAGGAGCGGCUAACUCCGUGCCAGCAGCCGCGGUAAUACGGAGGAUCCGAGCGUUAUCCGGAUUUAUGGGGUUUAACGGGAGCGUAGGUGGAUUGUUAAGUCAGUUGUGAAAGUUUGCGGCUCAACCGUAAAAUUGCAGUUGAAACUGGCAGUCUUUCGUACAGUAGAGGUGGGCGGAAUUCGUGGUGUAGCGG
rnacentral:rRNA from 1 species